UACAGAGGUCUCAAGCGUUGUUCGGAUUCAUUGGGCGUAAAGGGUGCGUAGGUGGCGCGCUAAGUCAGGUGUGAAAUUUCGGAGCUUAACUCCGAAACUGCAUUUGAUACUGGCGUGCUUGAGGACUGGAGAGGAGACUGGAAUUCACGGUGUAGCAGUGAAAUGCGUAGAGAUCGUGAGGAAGACCAGUGGCGAAGGCGGGUCUCUGGACAGUUCCUGACACUGAGGCACGAAGGCCAGGGGAGCAAAACGGGG
rnacentral:rRNA from 1 species